rnacentral:rRNA from 1 species
UACGUAGGGGGCAAGCGUUGUCCGGAAUCAUUGGGCGUAAAGCGCGUGUAGGCGGCUGAGUAAGUCUGCUCUGAAAGCUUGGGGCUCAACCCCAAGAGGCGGGUGGAUACUGCUCAGCUCGAGUCCGGAAGAGGAGUGUGGAAUUCCGUGGUGUAGCGGUGAAAUGCGCAGAUAUCGGGAAGAACACCCGUGGCGAAGGCGGCACUCUGGGGACGGUACUGACGCUGAGACGCGAAAGCGUGGGGAGCGAACAGGAU